CGUUAGCUUACUUUGUGUGGACAACUACACAUUAUAAGGAGUCGAGCCUGAUUGCCUAUAAAUACACAUUAAGCUGAUGACAUGACAGUUCAACAUCUCACAGUCACACAGGAGAUCUAAUAGUCCCACAGGAAGCAAGCAUCACAAGGAUAAGCCCCGUGGACAAGAAGCCGGAGGGAGGGAACACUGGUACUGGUUACCACAACCAGAAGACGGAGUGGCCAGAGUUGGUGGGGAAGUCGGUGGACGAGGCCAAGAAGGUGAUUUUGCAGGACAAGCCAGAGGCAUGGAUCGUAGUUCUGCCAGUGGGGACAAUUGUGACCAUGGAAUAUCGGAUCUACCGUGUUCGCCUUUUUGUCGACAGACUCGACACCUCCCCAGGGCCGGCUAGCAAGCUUGAGAGCUGGCCUGCUGCUCGCGUACAUGUAUUGCAGCUUGAUUAUCUCUUCUUCGAUAUAGCAAGAUUGAGAUAUAUAGAUCAUAUACUAUAAGAGGUUGAUGCAUGGUAGGUUAAUGGAUAAUGGAAUAAGUCAGAGCGCGUAAUAUGGUUAAGGUUUGUAUGUAAGCGUGCUUCCGUUCAAUUAGUUUACACAUGUAUGAUGCCGUACCCUGUGUAAGAAUUCGUCUGAUUAACCAGUUAACUUGCCAAUUAA